rnacentral:lncRNA from 1 species
ACAGACAUUAAUGAACAAUCCUAAUAACAAUUACCACAACUCAGCAAUCUAUAGUUGGGGCUAAUCCAUCCUAACCUAUUUAAACCCUAAAAUCUAACAAUGGAACUACUCAGACAUGGCUAAGCAAUUCAUAACAGCAGUUAGAUAAAAAAACUUCAUUAGAAUAGUAAAUAGAUAUUAAUGGAGUUCCAAUCACAAAUUAUAACUUUGGAUCUUCUCUCCAAUCUAUCAAAAUACUAAAAAACCUUGCUGUGAAAAUAAUAAAACAAGAAAAGCACACUCUGCCUCUAACAUGGUGGCAAAGCUUAUAUAAUUAUG